rnacentral:rRNA from 1 species
UACGUAGGGGGCAAGCGUUGUCCGGAAUCAUUGGGCGUAAAGCGCGUGUAGGCGGCUUGGUAAGUCUGCUCUGAAAGUCCGGGGCUCAACCUCGGAUCGGCCGUGGCGACUCGUGGGCUGGAGCACUGUAGAGGCGGGUGGAAUUCCGGGUGUAGCGGUGGAAUGCGUAGAGAUCCGGAAGAACACCAGUGGCGAAGGCGGCCCGCUGGGCAGUGGCUGACGCUGAAGCGCGACAGCGUGGGGAGCAAACAGG